ACCAAAGCCGGGGCAACCUGGCGCUUUUGGAGGAGCUCGUGGCCUAUCAGCUAGUUGGUGAGGUAACGGCUUACCAAGGCAACGACGGGUAGCUGGUCUGAGAGGACGACCAGCCACACUGGAACUGAGAUACGGUCCAGACACCUACGGGUGGCAGCAGUCGAGAAUUUUUCUCAAUGGGGGAAACCCUGAAGGAGCGACGCCGCGUGGAGGAUGAAUGCUUUCGGGUUGUAAACUCCUGUCAUUUGGGAACAAGGCCUUACGUUAACUGCGUGGAGGAUUGAUAGUACCAGAAGAGGAAGAGACGGCUAACUCUGUGCCAGCAGCCGCGGUAAUACAGAGGUCUCGAGCGUUGUUCGGAUUCAUUGGGCGUAAAGGGCGCGUAGGCGGCGGGGUAAGUCUGGUGUGAAAUCUAGGAGCUCAACUCCUAAACUGCACUGGAUACUGCUCUGCUAGAGGACUGGAGAGGAGACUGGAAUUCACGGUGUAGCAGUGAAAUGCGUAGAUAUCGUGAGGAAGACCAGUGGCGAAGGCGGGUCUCUGGACAGUUCCUGACGCUGAGGCGCGAAGGCCAGGGGAGCAAACGGGAUUAGAUACCCCGGUAGUCCUGGCAGUAAACGGUGCACGU
rnacentral:rRNA from 1 species